AAAUCUCUCUCUCUCUCUCUCUCUCUCUCUCUCUCUCUCUCUCUCUAUAUAUAUAUAUAUAUAUAUAUAUAUAUAUAUAAUAUAGUUGAGCUAGAAUACUAUCGGUAGCAAACGGGCUCCGUUGCCACCCAUUUGUUUUUGAUGAUAGAGCCUCCAAAUUGACGAUCGGCACCGUUGAAAAUGAUCUAUACCAUUUGAAGUAUUUAGAAAUCAAAUUUCAUACUUUUUCGAUAUUGUUUUCUUAUCCAUCAAAUGGGCGUAAAAAUGAAUGGCUGAAAAUGAAUAUCCUCUAAAAAGUGAUGAUAGGAAUUUUGUAAUCAAGAUCGAGAGGAUAGAUCUUGUUCUAAAUAGUUUAAUGAAUUUUCUAACCAAAAUUCAAUUCAUUUGGCUAGCAUUACACUGUUAAACGAGAAAACACCUCAAAUCUACCAUUAAAAUUACAAAUUUUGAAACCCGUUGAUCAUUAGGUCAAUGAUGUCGAAAAUGUUUGAAAUUUGGUUUCUAGAUACUUUAAGUGGUAUAGAUCAUGUUCAACGGCGCCGAUCGUCGAUUUGGAGGCUCCAUUAUCGAAAACAAAUGGGUGGCAACGGAGCCUGUUUGCUACCGAUAGCAUUCUAGCUCAACUAUAUAUAUAUAUAUAUAUAUAUAUAGUUGAGGUAGAAUACUUUCAAAAUUAAGCACCAAAGGGGUGGUGCUUUUGAAUUUUUAACCAUUGGAUGGAGAGAUAUAGGAUUGAGAUUAUGGUGGUAAAUGGUGGUAGGUGGUGGUAGGUGGAAUAGUGUUUGAUCCAAGGGGUACUAGUAAUUAAGUAGUAGAUCCAAAGGCUAUAAACUUAGAAGCAGCAAGGGGUUGGUGCUUCUAAAAAUAUUCUAGCUCAAUUAUAUAUAUAUAUAUAUAUAUAUAUAUAUAUAUAUAUAGAGAGGGAGAGAGAGAGAGAGAGAGAGAGAGAGAGAGGAGAGGUAGGGAGGGUUUGGGGACAUGGUGGUCGUCCCCAAACCCUACUUUAAUGUUAAAAAAAGGGAAAAUUUUAAAAACCCCCCUGUGGUUUCAUUGUUUCUCACUUAGUAUCCUGUGGUUUAAAGUGUAUCAUUUUGCCCCCCUGUGGUUUCGUUUUUAUCUUUUCGGUAGUUUUUUUGUUAAUAUUUUAUUAAUUUAUAUAUAAAAAAUUUCAGAUACCCAUCUAGAUUUAUCAAAUAUUCACUUUAGUACCCUUUAAUUUUAACUUUAUCACUGAUUUAAGAAAAAAAAUAAUAAAAUUGAUAAGAAAAAGAGAAAAAAAAAACCACAGGGGGGGCAAAGUGAGAAACUACGAAACCACAAGAGGGGUUUUUAAAAUUUUCCUAAAAAAUAAAGAAUAGAUCAUAUGCAUCCAAAACUUUUACCAUAAAUCCUAC
rnacentral:lncRNA from 1 species